rnacentral:rRNA from 1 species
GCGGUAAUUCAAGCUCCAAUAGCGUAUAUGUAAAUUGUUGCGGUUGAAAAGCUCGUAGUUGGACUUCUGGCGACUGCGUUCGGUCCGCCAAGCGCGUGCACUGUCCGCGGUCGUCGUCUCUGUCGACGUGGCGCGUCGGCCUUAGUUGGUCGGUGCGUCGUCUGUCGGCGAUGUUACUUUGAGGAAAUCAGAGUGCUCAAGGCAAGCGUUCGCUCGUGACUUCACUAGCAUGGAAUAACACAGAUGGGCUUUCUCGCACUGUUGGUCUGCGUCAAUUGAGCAACGAUCGAUAGAGACGGUCGGGGGCAUCGUAUUGCGCAGUUAGAGGUGAAAUUCUCCGAUCUGCGCAAGACGUACUAAUGCGAAAGCAGUUGCCAAGGACGUCCUCUUAUGAUCAGAGCGAAAGUCGGGGGAUCAAAGAUGAUUAGAUACCGUCGUAGUCCCGACCAUAAAUGAUGCCGACUGAGCUUCGGCGACUCGACCUCGGUCGUACGUCGGCGCUCUUAGAGAAAUUAAAGUCUUUGGGCUCCGGGGGUAGUAUGGUCGCAAGUCUGAAACUUGAAGGAAUUGACGGAAGGGCACCACAAGGCGUGGAUGUUGCGGCUUAAUUUGACUCAACACGGGAAAGCUUACUAGGUUUGGACACCUUUGUGAUGGACAGAUUGAAGCUCUUACCCUACUGCGUGGAUGGUGGUGCAUGGUCGUUCUCAGCCCGUGGGUUGACCUGUCAGGUUUACUCCGGUAACGCGCGAGACCUCGGUCUGCUAAAUAGACGCGGCUGUUUCGGCACCCGCGCUCUUCUUAGAGAGAGACUCGACGAGAGUCGAGGGAAGUCGAGGCAAUAACAGAUCUGUGAUGCCCUUAGUUAUCCUAGGUCGCACGCGCCAUACAAUGUGGCGCACAACGAGUCUCCUUGGCCGACAGGAURUCCCUCGAGCGGUCGGCYUCUGCUCGCGCUCGGUCGUCGGGCAGACUCGGUGAGAGUGGUCCGUCUUCCUGAGCGAGACGGUCGCCGACGUCGAGGGAUUCUGGGCAAUCUGGCAGAGCGCUACGUGACUGGGCUAGACUUUUGUAAUUUUUGGUCUUGAACGAGGAAUGCCUAGUAAUCGCAGGUCAGCAUCCUGCGAUGAUUCGGUCCCUGCCCUUUGUACACACCGCCCGUCGCUCCAUCCGUGGCAUGCGCCGGUGAAGAGGGGGAGGCAGCGUCGGCCGGGUAACACCGGAUCGUACGUGGAACCCCUCUGAACCUUCGCACGUAGAGGAAGGAGAAGUCGUAACAAGGUUUUCGUAGGUGAACCUGCGAAAGGAUCAUUAUCGGCACAUCCCUAUCUCCGAGAACGGACAGGCUCGGCCUCCACGGAGGCGACGCCGCAGUUUUGAAAGCAUGCGUGGUGGACGGCUCGGUUCCCGCGUCGAUGAAGGACGUAGCGAGAUACGAAAGGUGUUGCGAAUUGCAAGAUUUCGCGAGUCAAUGACCAUCCGAAUGCAUCGCCGCCCUCUCYUCGCCUUCGGGCGGAGGGAGGACGCGUCGGCGACAUCGCCCUGCUCAUGCGCUCACGCCGAGAGAUGGCGGAGGCGUCCGUGGACGGAGCACCCGACGGUCGGUCGGCGUGUCCGUUCCAGCUGUCCAGACGCACCGCGUGGCCUCUACGGACCUGCGGUCGCUCAWYRYUCGAAAUAGCUGCGAUGUCGWCGGCGAGGAAACCCGCUGAACUUAAGCAUAUCAAUAAGCGG